GGUGAACGCUGGCGGCGUGCCUAAUACAUGCAAGUCGAGCGAACAGACGAGGAGCUUGCUCCUUUGACGUUAGCGGCGGACGGGUGAGUAACACGUGGGUAACCUACCUAUAAGACUGGGAUAACUUCGGGAAACCGGAGCUAAUACCGGAUAAUAUUUCGAACCGCAUGGUUCGAUAGUGAAAGAUGGCUUUGCUAUCACUUAUAGAUGGACCUGCGCCGUAUUAGCUAGUUGGUAAGGUAACGGCUUACCAAGGCAACGAUACGUAGCCGACCUGAGAGGGUGAUUGGCCACACUGGAACUGAGACACGGUCCAGACUCCUACGGGAGGCAGCAGUAGGGAAUCUUCCGCAAUGGGCGAAAGCCUGACGGAGCAACGCCGCGUGAGUGAUGAAGGUCUUCGGAUCGUAAAACUCUGUUAUUAGGGAAGAACAAACGUGUAAGUAACUGUGCACGUCUUGACGGUACCUAAUCAGAAAGCCACGGCUAACUACGUG
rnacentral:rRNA from 1 species